AAGGGCCUGAUGCAGCGACUUGGCAGGGCUGUGGGAGCCUCAGCAGCUGAGUACCAUGCAGCAGCCCCGUGUUAACUGUGCUCUCAAGACUGCCUCAUCCCGUUUCUUAGCAACCACCCUAUUUGGAGGAAUGUGGAGGGCUUCAGGGACACCGGCUCAGAACCAUGUGCAAGACAGGAAGCACCCCCAAAUAACGCCUCCGACCCCUUCGCACUCCCACGGCCUGCCACCUUAUGCUGGUUGCCAUCUCCUGGGACAAGGUGGACAGCUUAGAAGCCCUCCACCGGGAAGGAGUUCAGCUACCAAGCAGGUCUCCAGGUAGCUUCCAGGGCCAAGUUCGUGCAGGGAAGUCCUGGUUACACCCUUGGCCUCUGGACAAAAGCCCUGGUGCCAUCUGUUGUCCUCUAACACUCUGAGCGGCUGACGUGGUACAAAGAGACACCCAGCAGAGGGCUCGGGCUCUGCAUACACAGGCUUAGGGCCAGGCAGAAGCACUGUGACAACAGCUCAGCUGGGCGUUCGAAGAAGUUCCAGGGUAGGAGCACCUGCUGGACGCAUCCGGUCUCCACUCUGAAGAUAGAUCAUUUUAUCUUCUCAAAAAAUUAUUGGGGGACAUUAAAGGAUCCUACCGGAGCCAAGGCUUUUCAGCCCAGACAGCUGACUUCAGAUACACGUUAUUAAUACUAACAUUUUCUCAGCGUGAUUGCAUACCCCAUUUAAAACAAAUUACCCAAUUAAGCUAAGAAGGUGAUGGGUUCGACUUCCUGGGAUUUGGAGCCGGUGACUCUGUCUCGACUGCUCUCCCCUAAUUUCCCUCCAAUUAGGUAAAGAUCCCGAGGUACCCCUGCGAGGAUCAGCUGAGAGGUUGCUGUGGAGACGGAAGGGAAGGACGUUCAUCCCACUGCCAGUUUCAUCUGCGGCUGAGAAGGGAGCUGGCAAAGUUUCCAGCCUCCUCCUGGGAAGAACGCUCGUUGCCAACAGCAGAGACAAUAGGUCUGUUAGAUGGAAAAGGGUAAGGAUUAAGUAAGCUUCCGGGUCUCCGUCUGUAGCAGCCCAGGUCGAUGUCGUCAGCUUCCCAUGAGCAGCUGCACCUGCAAGAUUGCCAGGCAGUAACACUUUCCUUCCCUGUCCCCGGGGUUGCUGGAGGGGGAGGGGCGCUGCAGGCCCUGGUUCUGAUGUCAUGGCGCGGCCAGUCAGCUCAGUGUGGACCACGCUUUCUCAGUAACUGGCCAAAAGGAUCAGAGUGGUGGCGUCGGAGCAUGAAGCCACCAAUGCCAAAAAGCAUGGGGGGCGGGGGGGAUGUGCGGUUUUUAUCAUCCAAACAUUCAAAUCUAACCAUGGCUCUUUCUUGCUUUCCACACUUUGCUGGCUCUCUCGAGAAAGUGCCAAUUUCGAGACGAGAUGCUGCCCCACGCUUCUCUCCCAAACUCAACCUCUUUCCCUAAAUAAAUAUUCUGCACUUGGAAAGGUCAAACGCUCACACCUCCCAUCUGCCCACACUGCUGUUCGCCACUUGGCGUUCCUUCCUAAGGGCUCCCAGCCUGGCACCAGCUGAACUCAGGUUCAGCCCAGGAGCUCCUGAUCAACAAGUAUCUUGACCCCCAGAAAUCUUCUCUCUGUCUCUACCCCCCUUCCUCCCUCCUCUGGAAGGCCGGGCACCCCAUCACUGCUAGCACGUUCUAUAAUUUGAAGCAUGGGAAUGAUUUACAUGUCUGUCCCCAGGCCCAGAGUUGCCAAACCAUGCAAGGAGUGGGAGAGACAUUUUCAAAGAAAUGGCUGAGGGACUUGAGGGCAUGGGGACAGAGAUGACAGAAAAGGAUCUUGUCCGUGCCAAGCUAUGAACACCCAAGAGCUGUUAAGUCGUGAAGGGGUGGAGCUGGAGAGGUGGCUCGGUGCUUAAGAGUACUGACUGAGUUUUUCUAAAGGAAUGGGAUUAAUUCCCAGCACCUACAUGGCACUCCAAAACCAUCUGUAACUCCAGUCCCAGGGACUAAUGCCCUCUUCUGGGUCCAGGUAUACAGACAUACACGCACGUCAAACAUCCAUGGGGGUAGGGGGACAGCUACGUUGACUGUUCACCAGUCUCUUCCUCCUUCCUUGAUUUCAAAACCAAGCAUACCCAGUAUCGUGAAGGAAUAAAAAGUCAGCUUACUAACAAAAUCUCCGAAAGACAUCCUUCGGAUUACAUCAUCAAGUCUACCUUUCUGGUGUGAUGGUUUAAAACUAAUUGGGGGUGGGGGGAGCCUACUAAACCCUUCAACUCAUCAGAGCUGAGCUGACGGUCGUUCAGAGUCAUCCACACCAGAGAAAGCAAGCUAUCCCUGGAAGGUGAGUACCACCCAGAGCCCUGGUCCCUCUCCUACCUCUGCCUUCCACUGCCCAAGACUCAGUGGUCUCUCAAUGCCUGAGAGUUUCUGGCCAGGGGCCUCUCAGCCCUCACCCAUCUACCCUAUCUCCCAGAAGUAAAGCACACUGCUCUCUGGACUGGGUGCCCCCCCCGCCCCCCGCCUGGAAUGCUACUGAGGUCUGUCCAGUAGCCUCUUCAAAAGCACUGGGUGGGCUUUUGUUGGAGCUCAUCGUUGCAAUCCCUGACGCCCCCACCCCACCCCAGAUUUUCCAUUGAUAAUGCAUGUGACCAUGAGGGAAUCCAGAGAUGUGCAGGCAGACGCUGUGGCCACUCCAGAAUUGGAGCCCUCAGGCACAGUUUUCCUCUCAGCCUCAGUCACCUCUUAAAGCCCUUGGUGUCAGAGACACAGUGUGACACACGUGCUAUUGAGUCUAAGUGUCAUCCCUGUCACAGCGUUAUGUUUGUUGUAGAGCUGCAUGGCGAGACCCAAUCUAAACAAUAAAUAAUAAUAGUAACGUGCGGUUCGGGGAGGGGAGGGGGGAGUGUUGAGGAUGGCCCUGGUGCUGUUUAUAUUUUGAUGCUAAUUCUGCUUUCCCAGGAAGGGCUGACUGGAACCAGGAAUGAGUCUCUUACUCUGGUGACUUCUUGUGAACCAUCCCCAAUGAAUAAAGGAACCAAUCACUGGGCGAGUAGGCGGGACUUCCUGCUUGGAUAGAGGAAGAGAGUAGGCAGGAGUGGGGGAGAGGGGUGCUUUUUGGACGGGGACAGUGAAAGGUCAAGACAUAUAGCUACAAGUGUCUCCCAGUUUAGAUGGUGAAUCCGCCAGGAUUUGCCACUGGAGGAUUUAGACUUAAUAAGGCUUAACAAGAUUAGGAUUCUAGUUGAUGCGCCCAGCGAUUGAGUUACCAUUGAUUCU
rnacentral:lncRNA from 1 species